rnacentral:rRNA from 1 species
UGCGUAGGCGGAUUAAUAAGUCAGUGGUGAAAACCUGCAGCUUAACUGUAGAACUGCCAUUGAUACUGUUAGUCUUGAGUACGGUCAAGGUAGGCGGAAUGUGUAAUGUAGCGGUGAAAUGCUUAGAUAUUACACAGAACACCGAUUGCGAAGGCAGCUUACUGGGCCAUUACUGACGCUGAGGCACGAAAGCGUGGGUAGCGAACAGGAUUAGUACCCUGGUAGUCC